CACGUAGGCACCAAGCGUUGUCCGGAUUUAUUGGGCGUAAAGAGCUCGUAGGCGGUUCAGUAAGUCGGGUGUGAAAACUUUGGGCUUAACCCAAAGCGUGCAUCCGAUACUGCUGUGACUUGAGUUCGGUAGGGGGGUGGGGAAUUCCUAGUGUAGCGGUGAAAUGCGCAGAUAUUAGGAGGAACACCGGUGGCGAAGGCGCCACUCUGGGCCGAAACUGACGCUGAGGAGCGAAAGCAUGGGUAGCAAACAGG
rnacentral:rRNA from 1 species